rnacentral:rRNA from 1 species
GACGUAGGGCGCGAGCGUUGUCCGGAUUUAUUGGGCGUAAAGAGCUCGUAGGCGGUCCGUCACGUCGGAUGUGAAAUUCCAGGGCUCAACCCUGGACCUGCAUUCGAUACGGGCGGACUAGAGUUCGGUAGGGGAGACUGGAAUUCCUGGUGUAGCGGUGAAAUGCGCAGAUAUCAGGAGGAACACCGGUGGCGAAGGCGGGUCUCUGGGCCGAUACUGACGCUGAGGAGCGAAAGCGUGGGGAGCGAACAGG